GGCCUGUUAGCUCAGUUGUUUAAAGCGCCAGGCUAAUAACGCGGAGGUCAUGAGUUAGAACCUCUUACGGGCCA
rnacentral:tRNA from 1 species